UACAGAGGUCCCGAGCGUUGUUCGGAUUCAUUGGGCGUAAAGGGUGCGUAGGCGGCUUUCUAAGUUUGAUGUGAAAUCCUGGGGCUCAACCCUGGAACUGCAUUGAAUACUGGGAGGCUAGAGAACUGGAGAGGAGACUGGAAUUUACGGUGUAGCAGUGAAAUGCGUAGAGAUCGUAAGGAAGACCAGUGGCGAAGGCGAGUCUCUGGACAGUUACUGACGCUGAGGCACGAAGGCCAGGGGAGCAAA
rnacentral:rRNA from 1 species